UAACGGCGAGUGAACCGGGAAGAGCUCAAAUUUGAAAUCUGGCGUGCUCAGUGCGUCCGAGUUGUAAUCUAUAGAGGCGUUUUCCGUGCCGGACUGUGUCCAAGUCCCUUGGAACAGGGUAUCAAAGAGGGUGAUAAUCCCGUACUUGACACAAUGACCGGUGCUCUGUGAUACGUCUUCUACGAGUCGAGUUGUUUGGGAAUGCAGCUCAAAAUGGGUGGUGAGUUCCAUCUAAAGCUAAAUAUUGGCGAGAGACCGAUAGCGAACAAGUACCGUGAGGGAAAGAUGAAAAGCACUUUGGAAAGAGAGUUAAACAGUACGUGAAAUUGUUAAAAGGGAAACGAUUGAAGUCAGUCGUGACUGAGAGGCUCAGCCGGUUCUGCCGGUGUAUUCCCCUCAGUCGGGUCAACAUCAGUUUUGUUCGGUGGAUAAGGGCAGCUGGAAGGUAGCACCCUCGGGUGUGUUAUAGCCAGUUGUCGCAUACAUCGGAUGAGACUGAGGAAUGCAGCUCGCCUUUAUGGCCGGGGUUCGCCCACGUCCGAGCUUAGGAUGUUGACAUAAUGGCUUUAAACGACCCGUCUUGAA
rnacentral:rRNA from 1 species